rnacentral:rRNA from 1 species
CAUGUCUUUUUGAAUAUAAUAAAAAGUCUAAUCUGCCCACUGAGGAAUUUAAAUGGCCGCAGUAUUUUGACUGUGCUAAGGUAGCAUAAUCAAUAGUUUCUUAAUUAGAAGCUGGAAUGAAUGAUUGGAUGAGAUAAAAACUGUCUCAAUUUUAAUAAUUAAAAUUUUAUUUUUAAGUAAAAAAGCUUAAAUAUUUUUAAAAGACGAGAAGACCCUAUAGAGUUUUAUAUUUUAAAUUAAAUUAAAUUAAUAUUUUAAUAUUUUAUUUAUUUUAAAGUAUUUUGUUGGGGUGAUAGAAAAAUUUAAUCAACUUUUUUUAUAUAAAACCAUAAAUUUAUGAAUAAAUGAUCCAUUAUUUAUGAUUAAAAGAUUAAAUUACCUUAGGGAUAACAGCGUAAUUUUUUUUAAGAGUUCUAAUCGAAAAAGAAGAUUGCGACCUCGAUGUUGGAUUAAAGUUAAGUUUUGGUGUAGAAGCUAAAAUUUUAAGUCUGUUCGACUUUUAAAACUUUACAUGAUCUGAGU